rnacentral:rRNA from 1 species
AUUGAACGCUGGCGGAAUGCUUUACACAUGCAAGUCGAACGGCAGCACGGGGGCAACCCUGGUGGCGAGUGGCGAACGGGUGAGUAAUACAUCGGAACGUGCCCAGUCGUGGGGGAUAACGUAGCGAAAGCUACGCUAAUACCGCAUACGAACUCUGGUUGAAAGCGGGGGAUCGCAAGACCUCGCGCGAUUGGAGCGGCCGAUGGCAGAUUAGGUAGUUGGUGGGGUAAAGGCCUACCAAGCCGACGAUCUGUAGCUGGUCUGAGAGGACGACCAGCCACACUGGGACUGGGACACGGCCCAGACUCCUACGGGAGGCAGCAGUGGGGAAUUUUGGACAAUGGGCGCAAGCCUGAUCCAGCCAUUCCGCGUGCAGGAUGAAGGCCCUCGGAUUGUAAACUGCUUUUGUACGGAACGAAACGGUCCUGGUUAAUACCUGGGGCUAAUGACGGUACCGUAAGAAUAAGCACCGGCUAACUACGUGCCAGCAGCCGCCGCCGUAA